rnacentral:misc_RNA from 1 species
ACCAAAAAAAAAAAAAAAAGCCAAGCUGACAAAUAACUGAAGCAUUCUGUCUGUUAUAUGCAUAUGCAACACCACACACCACACAUUUAUGUAAUUCAUUCCAACUAAUGUACUACUCAUUACACAAACAUACUAAACGCCCACUGAAACUUAUCCCGCAACUUUUCUAGUAUAACUUCUGCCAGGUUGAAAUUGAUGGGUUUGUCUGAGAAACAUGUCACCAGAUUCACCACUCCACUGCACUCCAGCUUUCAUAGGUGGCGGCUUAGGUUGUGCCCCAAUCUGCCUGUGAGAACCAAUCGACAUACUCGCAAACUUAUCAGCUGCAUCAGACACUCCACGUGUACUUCUAGCCUUGUUAAUGACCAUUGGGCUCUUCCUUCCUGGUGGUCGAUAUUUCUGU